rnacentral:rRNA from 1 species
CGCGCAGGCGGUCUUCCAAGUCAGUGGUGAAAGCCCGGAGCUCAACUCCGGAACUGCCAUUGAAACUGUUAGACUUGAGUAUGAGAGAGGUGAGUGGAAUUCCCAGUGUAGAGGUGAAAUUCGUAGAUAUUGGGAAGAACACCGGUGGCGAAGGCGGCUCACUGGCUCAUUACUGACGCUCAGGCGCGACAGCGUGGGGAUCAAACAGGAUUAGAUACCCUGGUAGUCCACGCCGUAAACGAUGAAUGCUAGCCGUUGGGCAGCUUGCUGUUCAGUGGCGCAGCUAACGCAUUAAGCAUUCCGCCUGGGGAGUCGGCCGCAAGGUUGAA